CACGAACGCUGGCGGCAGGCUUAACACAUGCAAGUCGAGCGCCCCCCAAGGGGAGCGGCAGACGGGUGAGUAACGCGUGGGAAUCUACCCAUCUCUACGGAAUAACGCAUGGAAACGUGUGCUAAUACCGUAUACGUCCUUCGGGAGAAAGAUUUAUCGGAGAUGGAUGAGCCCGCGUUGGAUUAGCUAGUUGGUGGGGUAAAGGCCUACCAAGGCGACGAUCCAUAGCUGGUCUGGGAGGAUGAUCAGCCACACUGGGACUGAGACACGGCCCAGACUCCUACGGGAGGCAGCAGUGGGGAAUAUUGGACAAUGGGCGCAAGCCUGAUCCAGCCAUGCCGCGUGAGUGAUGAAGGCCCUAGGGUUGUAAAGCUCUUUCACCGGUGAAGAUAUUGACGGUAACCGGAGAAGAAGCCCCGGCUAACUUCGUGCCAGCCGCCGCAGUAACAC
rnacentral:rRNA from 1 species